GAGACGUAUGAUCCAGGCUUGCCCUUGAGCAUGUCACGCGUCCCCACCGGAAGCUGAGUCCCAGAUUCUGCGAACGUCGCUCCGUUCAUGAGGAGGUCGUUGAUUGAUCUCCAUUGCCAGUUCUUCCACACUUCCUGUGCUUUCUACUGUGAUCGUCAACAUGCAAGGCAAAAAUCAACCAAAAUUCAAGCAUUUCUUCUCCUAAAUAGUUAGAAUUUUCGGCCAAGGAGAGGGAGGUCAAGUCACUAUAUCUUAGAUUCAAUGCAAGAUUCUAGGAGAGAAUGAUGGAAAACCUAAGGAAAGACUUGAUUACCUUUGAUUCUUGCUUUAAACUGCAUAUUUCUCUUCCUCUCUCUCUCACAAGAUGGUGGACAAAAUGAAGAAAUGAGCAGGACAAAGGAAGACUUCUCUUUAAGUGGAGAAAUGGUGAUGGCACUUUUGUAUUCAUGUGUUUGCAUGGUGACCAUUUUGAAAGCUAUCUCCUCUUGCAUUUUAUAUGUCAAAUGAUGAUAUUCUAAUUUCAUGAUUCUUAACUCAAAACAAGAGGUUUCAUGCAUGUGAAAAGAGCAUGGGGCGCACAUUGCCUUCUUUAAAAACUUCCUUCCAAAAUUGACCCAACUAUCAACAAUUAUAAUUUCUCGAGGAAAUGAGUUUGUUUGA